rnacentral:rRNA from 1 species
UACGUAGGGGGCUAGCGUUAUCCGGAAUUACUGGGCGUAAAGGGUGCGUAGGUGGUUUCUUAAGUCAGAGGUGAAAGGCUACGGCUCAACCGUAGUAAGCCUUUGAAACUGGGGAACUUGAGUGCAGGAGAGGAGGGUGGAAUUCCUAGUGUAGCGGUGAAAUGCGUAGAUAUUAGGAGGAACACCAGUUGCGAAGGCGGCUCUCUGGACUGUAACUGACACUGAGGCACGAAAGCGUGGGGAGCAAAUAGG